rnacentral:tRNA from 1 species
GCAGCUGUGGCCUACUGGUUAGGGCUUCACACUUGUAACCGGAGGGUUGCCGGUUCGAACCCCGGCCAGUAGGA